rnacentral:rRNA from 1 species
UACGUAGGGGGCAAGCGUUGUCCGGAUUUAUUGGGCGUAAAGAGCGUGUAGGCGGCUUUGCAAGUCCGUUGUGAAAACUCGAGGCUCAACCUCGAGACGCCGGUGGAAACUGCAAAGCUAGAGUCCGGAAGAGGAGAGUGGAAUUCCUGGUGUAGCGGUGAAAUGCGCAGAUAUCAGGAGGAACACCAGCGGCGAAGGCGGCGCUCUGGGCUGGAACUGACGCUGAGGCGCGAAAGCGUGGGGAGCAAACAGG